rnacentral:rRNA from 1 species
AUGGCCAACCAUGGGGAUCUCUCCCCGCCGACCGACAGCCGCUCCCAGCAGCAGCCGAUUCCAGUCUUGUACCAGUCACGGUACGCCAAAACACCAGAGGGCACUCCGCUUUCCUUUGUACUCUACUACACGCCACUUCCUCCAAGUGCUGCGGCUACUCCGAGCCCCGUGCACCAAGAUGGAGCCACAAAGGUGCUCUGCUUGACCCGCAUGUUUUCACCCGAUCGGCUCGCGGACGAUGUGUAUUACCGCAACUUUUGCUGGUGGAUGGCAGUAGAAGGGCGGAGACACGGCGGUAAACUGGUGAGAACCGUGGUCCCACGGCCUGACCCCAGCGGCGCUCCGGUCGCCGGAGUUGGCAAGGUGUUUCUCGAGUACGCGGAUCUCGACAGCUCAACACAUUCAAAGACGAUGUUGCACUUGACGUGGUUUCGCGGGAGGCAGGUGUUUGCCGUGUUCUACCCUGAGGACAAGUUUGCUCAUGGCAACUACGACAGAUAA